rnacentral:rRNA from 1 species
AACGAAGUGAAUUGAAAUAUCUUAGUAACUUUAGGAAAAGAAAUCAAACGAGAUUGUUAUUUGGUGCAAACUAAAUAACAAGAGCCUAUUAACAAAACUUGUUAAAGUAAAAUGGAUUAAAAUCUGUUUGAAUAUAGGGGAACCUUCCUCUAAGGCUAAAUAUGAUAUAUAAGCGAUAGUGAAAAGUACCGUGAGGUAAAAUUUGAAAUAGUAGUUUUAUAAGCAGCUCGAGUGAAAAUUUAAAUAAGUAAUAAGAGUGUACCUUUUGCAUAAUGGGUCAGCAAGUUAAUUUUAGAUGCAAGCAAUGAUUUCGUGCGCUUUGCGCAUGGAACUAGCUUAGAUAAACCAAUUAUGAGAAAAUGAAUAAGUAUCUAGAAUUAGACCCGAAGGCUAGUGAUCUUACCAUGGUCAGGAUUAUAAAAGUCCGAACGGGUUAUCGUUGUAUAGAUAUCCGAAGAAUUGUGGUAAGUUAGUGAAAGACAAAACUGACUAGUAUAGCUGGUUUUCCGCGAAACCUAUAUGAGUAGGUAAUUUAACUAACAUCUUAGCAGGUACAGAACUGUGAUCUCGGACAAUAUCUUUUGAUUUUGUCAACAUCGGGGGGUUGUAGUGACUUUACCGGAGAGUAUUUGCACUCGGAAUGGCAAAGAUGAAUGUUGAAUAAUCGGACAUAGUGCGAUAAGGUUGUAUGUCUAAAGGGAAACAGCCCAGAACAAGAGUUAAGGUUCCAAAAUUAUUGUUGAGUGAAAUUAAGGAUGUUUUUUUUAAAAACAAUCAGGAAAUAGGCUUAGAAGCGGCCAUUUUUUGAAGACCUCGUAACAGAGCACUGAUUAAUUAAAUUUAGAAAAAAACACCGAAAAUUUAACGGAUCUAAACAAUAUACCGAAACCUUGUACACAUAUUUAUAAUAUUAAUAUUGUAUAUGUGGGGUAGCGGAACAUUGGAUAAAUAUUAAUUAUUAUUUCUUCUAAGAAGUAAUAAGUAUGGAUUAUUAUUAAAAAUAUUUAUUUAUUAAAGAUAUUUAUGUAAUAUUAUUAUACCUAAAAGGUAUAAUGUUUAGAUGAAUAUAUAGAUAGAUUAUAUCUGUCUUUAUUAUUAAUAUAAUCCAUCGAUAUAAUCCAAGAGAGAAUGCUGACAUGAGUAACGAAAAAGGAAUAUCCUCGCCUUAAGCUUAUGGUAUUAUAUUUAAUUUUCGGUAUCUAAAAGUAUUAAUCAAAAGGUAAUUUUGAUGAUAUUUAUAUAUAAAUACUUAAAAAUAAAAAACAAAACCUUUAACAAGUAAUAAAGGUUCUGGAAAAUUUUUUAUUUUUAUUAAGUGAAGUAUAAUGCAAUAUAGGUAUAUUAUAAUUUAUAUAAUUUUCUUGUUACAAGUUUUCAAGAUUGUAUAGAUUUUAUCUAUAUUAAAUAUAUUUUCUUUUUUAUACUAUUGUAUAAGUAAGGUUUAUAUAUACCGUACCUAGAUACUAUCACAAGUAAGCAAGUAGAGAAUACAAAGGCGUUUGAGUGAACAAUCAUUAAGGAACUCGGCAAAUUGACUACCGUAACUUCGGGAUAAGGAGGGCCAUUAUGAUUAGUUUAACAUAUCUUAUGAUAUGAUUUAAUUAAACUAAUCAUAAGAGGAAACAUGAAAUAAUGUUGUACGACUGUUUAAUAAAAACACAGCACUCUGCAAAGAUAAAAUAUCAAAGUAUUGAGUGUGAUGUCUGCCCAAUGUCGGCUGGGUAACGGAUUUACCUUGGUUUUUAACUGAGGUUUUGAAGGAUACCCCGAUUAAUGGCGGCCUUACCUAUGAGGGUCCUAAGGUAGCGAAAUACCUUGGCCGUUAAAUGCGGUCCUGCAUGAAUGACUUAACGAUACAACAGCUGUCUCGAUGAUUGUCUCAGUGAAAUUGGAAUAGCAGUGCAGAUACUGUUUACCUCUAGAUAGACGAGAAGACCCUAUGCAGCUUUACUGUUACUAAUUGCAAGAGUGGAAAUUUAGGAUGAUUUCGAGUGUAUAAGGUAGUUGUUUGAUAACAAUGAAACACCUUUAUUCGUUUCCUACUAUAUGCUCUUGAGGAUUGGGAGGCAGUUUAUGCGGGGCACAGAUCCCACAAAAAGUACCUGGGUAUAUCCAAAGUUCAUUUUGUAAAUUUGUAAAUUUCUUUACAAAUAUUUUAAUUUGUUAUAAUUAUAUUCAUAAUUAUACAGUUAUUGUUAGAUUAAGUUCAAUAUUUAUUUUUUAUUUAAGUAAGAUUUUAACUAUAUGGUGAAUAGAUGUAUUUUAAACUUUACCCGGGGAGGGAGUGAUCCAACUCCGGGAUAUUUAAAAGUUUUUUCUCAUAUUAAUAUUGUAUUUUAUCUUUAUUGAUAUGAUAAUUAAUUAUACUUUAAAAGUUUAAUGGCUAAAUCUUGCUUUACUGUAUGACCUACAAGUCUAUCAGUCGCGUAAGCGGGGCAUAUGAUCACAAGAUGCAUAAAGGAAAGGUCUUGGAUUAUAGAAAAAGUUACGCUAGGGAUAACAGGCUAAUUUGCGCAAGAGAGUACAAAUUGAGUGCGCGGUUUGGCACCUCGAUGUCGGCUUAGCUCAUCCACAUGAAUGCAAAAAUCAUGAAGGGUUCGACUGUUCGUCGAUUAAAGAGCUACAUGAGCUGGGUUUAAUACGUCGUGAGACAGUAUGGUUUCUAUCUUCUAGAGGGAAUUAAAGUAGAAUAAAGAUAGCCCCUUCGUACGAAAGGAGUUGGGUAUAUUGACCUAUGGUUUACCUGUUGUUUAUGUUAUAUAUUAUUAUACAUAAUAUAUCAUUUACUUAUACUUAAGUAAAUUGUUCACAUAGGCAUGGCAGGAAGGCUACGUCAGUUAAAGAUAAGUGCUGAAAGCAUUUAAGCGCGAAGCUUACUUUAGGAUACUUUUAAACGUAGUAGAACACUACGA